rnacentral:rRNA from 1 species
GUAGGUGGCAAGCGUUGUCCGGAAUUAUUGGGCGUAAAGCGCGCGCAGGCGGUUCUUUAAGUCUGAUGUGAAAGCCCACGGCUCAACCGUGGAGGGUCAUUGGAAACUGGAGAACUUGAGUACAGAAGAGGAAAGCGGAAUUCCACGUGUAGCGGUGAAAUGCGUAGAGAUGUGGAGGGACACCAGUGGCGAAGGCGGCUUUCUGGCCUGUAACUGACGCUGAGGCGCGAAAGCGUGGGGAGCAAACAGGGAUUAGAUACCCUGGUAGUCCACGCCGUAAACGAUGAGUGCUAAGUGUUAGGGGGUUUCCGCCCCCUUAGUGCUGCAGCUAACGCAUUAAGCACUCCGCCUGGGGAGUACGGCCGCAAGGCUG